rfam:Citrus sinensis cultivar Ridge Pineapple sweet orange scaffold00974_contig_7, whole genome shotgun sequence.
GUUGAUGGGAAUGUUGUUUGGCUCGAGGGUCAUCUAGGUUUUCAAAAUUUUCUCGGACUUUCUUUCUUGCUUUUAUUUUUCCAGGAAAAUUAUGUUAUUUGCCUAUGUGAUCUCGGACCAGGCUUCAUUCCCGUCAAC